rnacentral:lncRNA from 1 species
AUGAGUUUGAACACUUCCUAUUGCCUUCUCUGUAAUUACCCAUUGGAAGAGAAGAAGCAAAUCUGGGGAGUUGGGAGUCUGACACUUCCUGGGGCUCAUAUUUCUGGGGAAAGGGCCCUGAUGUUCACAGCCACUGGCCCAGCUGUCUUCCUCUGUGCUGUGGGCUGCAGCACAGGCUCUCCCUCUGUGCUCCUGAUGAAUAAAUAACAUCGAUCCUAUACGGAAUUGUGUACUGAGUUCAUAAUAAGCUUACAGACUGCAAUAAUCCCAUCAGUUGAGAAACUCCUAUAUAUGUCUUUAUCUAUACAUGCAUAAAUACCAAUCUCUUAGUCAAAAUCUUAAAAGCCUAUUUGUUCAUUCAUAGACACAUUGCUAAAUAAAUAUACAUACUUAGUAUCCACAUACUAUGCCACAGGAACUGGUAUCCAGACCUCAAAUCAUUGGUAGUGACUUCUCAUUAUUGCCCAAAACAUCACAUCAAAUUUCUAACACAUAUUUUAAGUCUAAAACAGAGUUCCAAAUCCAAAAUUUUGUUUUGGUUUCCACAUAAAUUAAGCAUAGUUGCUAAGGACAUGUGCUUUGGAAUCAGACAGCCCUACGUCCAAAUCUUAGUAGUUUUGUCACUUUGUGCAAGUUAUUAAACUCCUGUAGCCCUCAGAUUUCAGAGCUGUAAUGAAGAUGAUAGUACAUAUCAUAUAAAGUUGAUGUGAGAAUUAAAUUAAAUUAAAUUAAAUACUGUAUAUAUUAAACCCACCAUGUGUAGUACAAGCUAAGUACUCAAAAACUUAUUAACAUAUAGUGGUUAUAAUUCCUCUAUUUGAUGAGCCAAACAUCAAAAAGAAUUAGUUGACUUGGAAACCAUUGAGAAACAAUAGGCUACCAUGUUCCUCUUCUGAUGGAAGUAUAUUUGGAAGGUGAAAGUACACAAAUUCUGUUUUGUAACUAGGUGGUCAAUUUUUUUUUUCCAUCUCUGAUUCAUAUAAUGUUAUCAUGCCUUAUGAUAAGUGUUUCAAUAUUCCCCUCAACUGUACUGUAAGGAAGUAAAUAUAGUAAUUCCAUGAAUAUAAAUACAACCUUAACCUGAAAAGUCAUAUGAACACUCCAACCAAACUCCAGAGGAGCAGCUGAAGGUGAUUUUUUAAAAUUAUAUCUCUGACCAAACCUAAGGGGCAAAUAUGGAUCAAAAUGAUGUAUGAACAGGCCCCAUAACCAUUCCCCAUAAAUAAUUUCCUUGCAGGACUUGGAAAUGACAUUGAUUGAGAAAUGACAUGCUAUUUCUCACAUGAGCUAUUAGCUAAGACAUCUUUUUAACAUUCCUUUUUUUCCACUUCUCUCCCCAGGGCAGCAUUUCAAUAUACAAUGCUAGUCUGGAAUGGGCAUUUGUUCUGAAGGAGAAAUGCCUUUACAAGCAGCUCUUCCUGAACAGCUUCUCCAGUGAUGAAAUAGCUCCCAUGCCUUUGUCCCAGGCAUCUACCCUCCAGUUAGUUUCGUCAGCAUCUGACAGAUGAGAUGUUCUUCAUUUUCCAAUCAUGCCAAUGCUAAACAGGAAGAAAGAAAAAUUAUCUUUAAUUGACCUUCUUACUGGAGAAUUAAAACCACCUUUUGCCUGUAAUAAAAUUCCUUCUAAACACCAAAGGGCAGUGGUGUCAAUUAAAAGUUAAAAACCUCAGGCAGAAAGCAAGUCCACAUCACCACAUGGUUGAAAAGUAUGCUAUCUAAUCAAGCACUGCAGGCCCUGGGGUGAGGAGUCACCCAGAGAGCAAACCUCUGCCCAUGUGAGGAAAAGUCUCAGAUACUAAAUAGAGGAAUCAAAGUCUUUCUGUUUUCAUAAGAUAUCCUGGCCUUAAAAAUGAAAUGCAGAGUUCCUUCUUCACCAGAACCUAAAGAACCCAUUACCCUUGUACUCUGCCUUUCACACAAGUAAUUUUCUUUCCUUAUUUGCAUCCACUCACCCUCACUAGUCCAGGUCUUCUAGCUCGACUUUGAAAAUAAAAUUAAAACGAAGAAAACUAAUAAUCAAGGAGUAGACAUAAAAUAAAUAUAAUUGUCUUAUCUUGCCUUCUUUGUUUUUUACAUUCUAUUGAAGAAUCCUAAGUCCACAUAUAUAUCUUUGCAAAUGCUGUGCAUAGAUCAGUAAUCUUUAUUUUGAAAAUAUAUUGAAAAAGUCUUUGUG